CCGCACCAAGAUGCUCUCGCGUCAUCAGGGAUUCUAAAGCAUUCUAGGUUUAGAGAAAUUAAGGUUAGGGUUUGGAAAUUGGGGAAAUAUGAAAUUAUGGUUAAUUUAUAAGGGGAAUCUAGGGUUUUAGGUUAGGGUUUGGUUGAAGAAAGAAGAAUAAGGAAUGAUGCAAGAAAAAAAGCUGAAGUGAGGUCCCACAAAACAGUCUAUACGGACUAUUCGAGCGUAUGGAUUCAUACGAACGGCUGGACCUUUUGUUCAGGUAUAGGUUGGGAUGGUUUGGGUUUAAGAAAAAAAAAAGAAAAA